rnacentral:lncRNA from 1 species
AGGAAAAGGAUUAGAGGGGAAGAGGAGGGGAAUAAUGACGUGGCAGUUGUGGCAAUGGAGGAAGAGAACAAGGGAAUGGCACUAGCAGUGGAAAUAAGGAGAUUUGGUGAGAAGCUAAUGUGGGUAGAAAGGAAAAGGAUGGAAAUGAUGCGAGAAACUGAAAGAUUAAGAAUGGAAAUGGAGAACACAAGGAUUGAGAUGAUACUGGAUGCAAAUAAGAAAUUUGUGGAUGUGAUCUCAGCGAGUUUCGGCUCAAGCAAGGUGGAUCAACAAUUGGGUUCCUGAAGAAUCUCGGAGCAGGUUCGGGUUUCAUAC